CCUACGGGAGGCAGCAGUAGGGAAUCUUCCACAAUGGACGAAAGUCUGAUGGAGCAACGCCGCGUGAGUGAUGAAGGUUUUCGGAUCGUAAAACUCUGUUGUAAGGGAAGAACAAGUACGAGAGGUAAUGCUCGUACCUUGACGGUACCUUGCGAGAAAGCCACGGCUAACUACGUGCCAGCAGCCGCGGUAAUACGUAGGUGGCAAGCGUUGUCCGGAAUUAUUGGGCGUAAAGCGCGCGCAGGCGGCCUGUUAAGUCUGAUGUGAAAGCGUCCGGCUCAACCGGGGAGGGUCAUUGGAAACUGGAAGGCGUAAGUACAGAAGAGAAGAGUGGAAGUCGAUGUGUAGCGGUGGAAUGCGUAGAGAUGGGGGGGACCACCAGUGGCGAAGGCGACUCUGUGGUCUGUAACUGACGCUGAGGAGCGAAAGCGUGGGGAGCAAACAGGAUUAGAUACCGCAGUAGUC
rnacentral:rRNA from 1 species